rnacentral:rRNA from 1 species
CUAAGAAUAUUCCGCAAUGGACGGAAGUCUGACGGAGCGACGCCGCGUGGAUGACGAAGGCCGAAAGGUUGUAAAGUUCUUUUGCUGGGGAAGAAUAACCGCAGGAGGGAAUGCCUGUGGGAUGACAAGAACCGGCGAAUAAGCCCCGGCCAACUACGUGCCAGCAGCCGCGGUAACACGUAGGGGGGCGAGCGUUGUUCGGAAUUACUGGGCGUAAAGGGCAUGUAGGCGGCUUGGAAAGCCUGGCGUGAAAGUCUGCAGCUUAACUGCAGGGGUGCGCUGGGAACUGCUGAGCUUGAGUGACGGAGAGGGAGCUGGAAUUCCUGGUGUAGGGGGUGAAAGUCUGUAGAUAUCAGGAAGAACACCGAUGGCGAAGGCAAGCUCCUGGCCGAUGACUGACGCUGAGGUGCGAAAAGUGUGGGGCAUCAAACAGGAUUAGAUACCCUGGUAGUCCACACAGUCAACGAUGUGCACUAGGUGCUGGGGG